rnacentral:rRNA from 1 species
UACGUAGGGGGCAAGCGUUGUCCGGAUUUAUUGGGCGUAAAGAGCGUGUAGGCGGCCAGGUAGGUCUGCUGUGAAAACUCGAGGCUUAACCUCGAGAUGUCGGCGGAAACCAUCUGGCUAGAGUCCGGAAGAGGAGAAUGGAAUUCCCGGUGUAGCGGUGAAAUGCGCAGAUAUCGGGAAGAACACCCGUGGCGAAGGCGGUUCUCUGGGACGGUACUGACGCUGAGACGCGAAAGCGUGGGGAGCGAACAGG